rnacentral:rRNA from 1 species
AACGAACGCUGGCGGCAUGCCUAACACAUGCAAGUCGAACGAGACCUCCUGGUUUGGUGGCGCACGGGUGCGUAACGCGUGGGAACCUGCCCUUAUGUUCUGACUAACUCCCUGGAAGGGGUGCUAAUACCGGGGAAUGUCUUCGGACCAAAGAUUUGUCGCCUUUGGAUGGGCCGGCGUUGUUUGGCGUUGGUGGUGGGGUAAAAGCCUACCAAGGCGAGGAGCCAUCGCUGGUCUGAGAGGAUGAACAGCCAGACUGGGACUGAGACCCGGCCCCGACGGGUGCGAGAAGUAGGGAAGGGUACUAAAGGACUAUGGGCGAGAGGCUGAAACAGCAAUGCCGGGUGAGCGAUGUAGGGGUUAGGAUUGUCAAGCUCUCUUGACCGAGCUGAUAAUGACAGUAGUGGGAGAAUAAGCACCGGCUAACUACGUG